rnacentral:tRNA from 1 species
GUUUUUAUAGUUAAAUUAUAACGGUAGUUUUUCAAGUUACAAAUCCUGGUUAGAAUCCUGGUAAAAAUU